rnacentral:ncRNA from 9 species
UCCGUAGGUGAACCUGCGGAAGGAUCAUUC